GUCUCAGUUCAGACUGCAGGCUGCAACUCGCCUGCACGAAGUCGGAAUUGCUAGUAAUCGCGGAUCAGAAUGCCGCGGUGAAUACGUUCCCGGGCCUUGUACACACCGCCCGUCACACCAUGGGAGUCGGUAACACCCGAAGCCGAUAGUCUAACGAAAGAGGACGUCGUCGAAGGUGGGAUUGAUGACUGGGGUGAAGUCGUAACAAGGUAGC
rnacentral:rRNA from 1 species